rnacentral:rRNA from 1 species
UACGUAGGCAGCAAGCGUUGUUCGGAAUUACUGGGCGUAAAGCGCACGUAGGCGGAUCUUUAAGUCAGAGGUGAAAUCCCAAGGCUCAACCUUGGAACUGCCUUUGAUACUGGGGAUCUUGAGUCCGGGAGAGGUGAGUGGAACUGCGAGUGUAGAGGUGAAAUUCGUAGAUAUUCGCAAGAACACCAGUGGCGAAGGCGGCUCACUGGCCCGGUACUGACGCUGAGGUGCGAAAGCGUGGGGAGCAAACAGG